rnacentral:lncRNA from 1 species
ACUGGAAGUCCAUAUUUUAUUUCUCUAGUGACAUAUUUACAGUUCAAUAUAAAUUAAAGGCCUGCUUGUAUGCCAAAUCCAGGUCCCUUGGGUGGUUCAGUCAAAGGGGUAAGACCUCCAGCUGGCUCACAAGAGAAGCGUCCACUCCUUGGCCCAGGUUUUGGGAUUUUGCCAGCCUUGAGCUCAUCAAUAAUUUCUUCAAUAUCCUUAGCUGUCAAAUCUUCCUUGUUCAUAGCAGAGAUGGGCAACCACCCAUUCUGCCUUUGGGCUAAAUCCAGGACUGGAAGAACAGCUGCUGCUUUAUGGCCUUCUGGAUAGUUUUUUACAAUUGCCUCUAUCCUCUUAUAGUUUUCUGGUGUGAAAUCAAAUGGAGUAUCAGGGUUAUUCUCAGGAGUAUCUCUGUGCACAAAUAAAGCUCCUCCAGCUCCAUUUUGCAUAGCUGUCUUAUGCAAUUC